rnacentral:rRNA from 1 species
GAUAAACGCUGGCGGCGCACAUAAGACAUGCAAGUCGAACGGAAGUCGUUGUAAUGAAAUGGAAAUGGACAGAGAACUUGUUCGAAGAAAAUUGAAGUAGACUUACAACAAUGGCUUUAGUGGCGGACUGGUGAGUAACGCGUAAGGAACCUGCCUUUUAGAGGGGAAUAACAAUGAGAAAUCAUUGCUAAUACCGCAUAUGCCGAGAGAAUCACAUGGUACAAUCGGGAAAGGAGCAAUCCGCUAAAAGAUGGCCUUGCGUCUGAUUAGAUAGUUGGUGGGGUAACGGCCUACCAAGUCGACGAUCAGUAGCCGGACUGAGAGGUUGAACGGCCACAUUGGGACUGAGAUACGGCCCAGACUCCUACGGGAGGCAGCAGUCGGGAAUAUUGCGCAAUGGAGGAAACUCUGACGCAGUGACGCCGCGUAUAGGAAGAAGGUUUCGGAUUGUAAACUAUUGUCGUUAGGGAAGAGAAAGGACAGUACCUAAGGAGGAAGCU